rnacentral:rRNA from 1 species
GAUUUAUUUAAACGGCCGCGGUAUUCUAACCGUGCAAAGGUAGCGUAAUCACUUGUCUUCUAAAUAAAGACCAGUAUGAACGGCUAAAUGAGGACAAACCUGUCUCUUGCAACUAAUCAGUGAAACUGAUCUUCCGGUCCAAAAGCCGGAAUACCCCCAUAAGACGAGAAGACCCUGUGGAGCUUCAAACAAACUACUAUGUAGCACGCCAGAGCCACAGCUAGUAGCAAACGUUUUGAGUUGGGGCGACUUCGGAGACAAAAAAAACUUCCGAGCACAGAACCACUAGUUCUCACCAAGACCAACAAGUCAAAGCUUAAACACGACCCAGUAACACUGACCAACGAACCAAGUUACCCCAGGGAUAACAGCGCUAUCUUCUUCAAGAGUCCAUAUCGACAAGAAGGUUUACGACCUCGAUGUUGGAUCAGGACACCCUAAUGGUGCAGCCGC